GAAUCUGGUGGCAGAGUGAUGGGGGAGGAGGAGCUGUCAGAGAUGACCAGCCUGGUGGUUGGUGGCCCAGGUGAAUAAGAGCCCUGGGGUGGAGUUUGGAGGCCUGGGAGGGGUCUAGGGCAGGAGAGGGCUUAUCUCUGGGAACAAGGAAUUGCAGGUGAUGGAGGGCAGGGCUUGGGGAGGAGAGGGAGACAGGGUCCUGAGCUCCUGGCCCAGGCCUCAGAGGCUGGGCAUAGGCUGGAAGGACCCUCCCAGAAUGGGGUGGCUGAAAACAGGAACUUGUGCUGAGAUCUCUCUGCCCUUGGAAUUGGGAUCUCCCUGCCUUCCUGCCUCACAGCUGAAAUCUCUGCUGACUUCUCUUGGACCUGAGAUCUCUGUCUUCCAGACACCCGCUCUGUGGGGCACAUCCCAAGGAGGUCUCAGCCAGCCCCUUGCAGAUCUGCUGCCUGUUCAGGCCAUUGGAUCUCAUCCUCCUUCUCUGAACCUUUGGCCAUGCUCCUGCCCUGGGAUCCUUCUCCCUCCCCACCUCAGUGUGCAGAAGACCAAGGCCUGAACAAGCAGGGAGGCUGGAGCCAGAGGGAAUGGCCCCUGGGAGCUGCAGAUCCCCAGCCAAGGUGAGUGCACCCUGCCCUCAGACUUGACCCACAUCAGCCAAACAGGGCAUUUCCAGAGAAAAAGAGGAUUGUCUAGGAGGCUGGCCAUCCCCUACUUAUGGAUUAUUUCUUUACAAAAAUAGGCAGGGAAUUGAAAACAGUAGUAACAACACUGGCCUGCUCUUUCCUGUGUUUUGAACUAAUUCUCAGCAUUUUGGCAUCACAAGCAGGAACUACUCCCUUCCC
rnacentral:lncRNA from 1 species